GAAUUUCGGUCAUCGAUGGGGAUGCGUUCCAUUAGGUUGUUGGCGGGGUAACGGCCCACCAAGCCUUCGAUGGAUAGGGGUUCUGAGAGGAAGGUCCCCCACAUUGGAACUGAGACACGGUCCAAACUCCUACGGGAGGCAGCAUG
rnacentral:rRNA from 1 species